rnacentral:rRNA from 1 species
CGGGAGGCGGGGUGCUAUACAUGCAGUCGAACGAACUCUGGUAUUGAUUGGUGCUUGCAUCAUGAUUUACAUUUGAGUGAGUGGCGAACUGGUGAGUAACACGUGGGAAACCUGCCCAGAAGCGGGGGAUAACACCUGGAAACAGAUGCUAAUACCGCAUAACAACUUGGACCGCAUGGUCCGAGUUUGAAAGAUGGCUUCGGCUAUCACUUUUGGAUGGUCCCGCGGCGUAUUAGCUAGAUGGUGGGGUAACGGCUCACCAUGGCAAUGAUACGUAGCCGACCUGAGAGGGUAAUCGGCCACAUUGGGACUGAGACACGGCCCAAACUCCUACGGGAGGCAGCAGUAGGGAAUCUUCCACAAUGGACGAAAGUCUGAUGGAGCAACGCCGCGUGAGUGAAGAAGGGUUUCGGCUCGUAAAACUCUGUUGUUAAAGAAGAACAUAUCUGAGAGUAACUGUUCAGGUAUUGACGGUAUUUAACCAGAAAGCCACGGCUAACUACGUGCCAGCAGCCGCGGUAAUACGUAGGUGGCAAGCGUUGUCCGGAUUUAUUGGGCGUAAAGCGAGCGCAGGCGGUUUUUUAAGUCUGAUGUGAAAGCCUUCGGCUCAACCGAAGAAGUGCAUCGGAAACUGGGAAACUUGAGUGCAGAAGAGGACAGUGGAACUCCAUGUGUAGCGGUGAAAUGCGUAGAUAUAUGGAAGAACACCAGUGGCGAAGGCGGCUGUCUGGUCUGUAACUGACGCUGAGGCUCGAAAGUAUGGGUAGCAAACAGGAUUAGAUACCCUGGUAGUCCAUACCGUAAACGAUGAAUGCUAAGUGUUGGAGGGUUUCCGCCCUUCAGUGCUGCAGCUAACGCAUUAAGCAUUCCGCCUGGGGAGUACGGCCGCAAGGCUGAAACUCAAAGGAAUUGACGGGGGCCCGCACAAGCGGUGGAGCAUGUGGUUUAAUUCGAAGCUACGCGAAGAACCUUACCAGGUCUUGACAUACUAUGCAAAUCUAAGAGAUAGACGUUCCCUUCGGGGACAUGGAUACAGUGGUGCAUGGUGUCGUCAGCUCGUGUCGUGAGAUGUUGGGUAGUCCGCACGAGCGCACCCUUAUUAUCAGUGCAGCAUAAGUUGGGCCCUCUGGUGAGACUGCCGGUGACAACCGGAAGAAGGUGGGGAUGACGGUCAAUCAUCAUGCCCCUUUAGAACCUGGGCUA